UACAGAGGUCCCAAGCGUUGUUCGGAUUCAUUGGGCGUAAAGGGUGCGUAGGCGGCGCGGUAAGUCGGGUGUGAAAUCUCGGGGCUUAACUCCGAAACUGCAUUCGAUACUGCCGUGCUUGAGGACUGGAGAGGAGACUGGAAUUCCUGGUGUAGCGGUGAAAUGCGCAGAUAUCAGGAGGAACACCGGUGGCGAAGGCGGGUCUCUGGGCCGUAACUGACGCUGAGGAGCGAAAGCAUGGGGAGCGAACAGG
rnacentral:rRNA from 1 species